rnacentral:rRNA from 1 species
CGUAGGGUGCGAGCGUUGUCCGGAAUUAUUGGGCGUAAAGAGCUCGUAGGCGGUCUGUCGCGUCGGUCGUGAAAACUUGGGGCUUAACCCUGAGCUUGCGGUCGAUACGGGCAUGACUGGAGUUCGGCAGGGGAGACUGGAAUUCCUGGUGUAGCGGUGAAAUGCGCAGAUAUCAGGAGGAACACCGGUGGCGAAGGCGGGUCUCUGGGCCGAUACUGACGCUGAGGAGCGAAAGCGUGGGGAGCGAACAGGAUUAGAUACCCUGGUAGUCCACGCCGUAAACGGUGGGCGCUAGGUGUGGGGGCCAUUCCACGGUCUCUGUGCCGUAGCUAACGCAUUAAGCGCCCCGCCUGGGGAGUACGGCCGCAAGGCUAA